rnacentral:rRNA from 1 species
ACGGGAGGCAGCAGUAAGGAAUAUUGGUCAAUGGAGGCAACUCUGAACCAGCCAUGCCGCGUGCAGGAAGACUGCCCUAUGGGUUGUAAACUGCUUUUAUCCGGGAAUAAACCUACUUACGUGUAAGUAGCUGAAUGUACCGGAAGAAUAAGGAUCGGCUAACUCCGUGCCAGCAGCCGCGGUAAUACGGAGGAUCCAAGCGUUAUCCGGAUUUAUUGGGUUUAAAGGGUGCGUAGGCGGCCUGUUAAGUCAGGGGUGAAAGACGGUAGCUCAACUAUCGCAGUGCCCUUGAUACUGAUGGGCUUGAAUGGACUAGAGGUAGGCGGAAUGAGACAAGUAGCGGUGAAAUGCAUAGAUAUGUCUCAGAACACCGA